GUUUGCUGUUCCACCCCAAGGAAGACAGCUAAAGGUGGAAAGAAAUCACGAGCUCGGGCAAAACUAUUUGGACCAUGCAAAGGACGGGCGUCUCUCUACUGUCUGCACGGGGCUUGCCAGCUGCUGCGUAUGAAGAAGACGAAACAGCUGAGAUGCAGGUGUGAAGAUGGCUACGCUGGGGAGCGCUGUGACCGCCGUCUCCUCUACUCGCGAUCCGAUUGGCCGCGCUCGCUGCUCGAGCCGCCUCCCCAUUGGCUCCUCGGCUGACGGGGGACCCCACCCCCCACAACAACCCCUUACUCGUGUGCUCGGACCACGCCCACCCACUUCUACAUUUGCAUUAACCACGCCCACCCACCUCUACAUUUGCAUUAACCAUGCCCCCGCCUCGUUUUUUGCAUUAACCACGCCCCCGUCUCGUUAUUUGCAUUAACCACGCCCACCCACCUCGACAUUUGCGUUAACCACGCCCACCCACCUCGGCAUGUGCAUUUACCACGCCCCUCCUAAUUUGCAUUAACCACGCCCUCGUUAUUUGCAUUAACCACGCCCACCCACCUCUACAUUUGCAUUAACCACGCCCACCCACCUCGACAUUUGCAUUAACCACGUCCCCGCCUCGUUAUUUGCAUUAACCACGCCCACCCGCCUCGACAUUUGCAUUAACCACGCCCACCCACCUCGACAUGUGCAUUAACCACGCCCCUCCUAACUUGCAUUAAACACGCCCCCACCUCGUUAUUUGCAUUAACCACGCCCACCCACCUCGACAUGUGCAUUAACCACGCCCCUCCUAAUUUGCAUUAAACACGCCCCCGCCUCGUUAUUUGCAUUAACCACGCCUACCCACCUCGACACUUGUGCUAACCACGCCCACCCAUCUCGGCAUGUGCAUUAACCACGCCCCCCUCAUUUGCAUUAAACACGCCCCCGCUUAGUUAUUUGCAUUAACCACGCCCACCCACCUCGACAUUUGCGUUAACCACGCCCACCCACCUCGGCAUGUGCAUUUACCACGCCCCUCCUAAUUUGCAUUAACCACGCCCUCGUUAUUUGCAUUAACCACGCCCACCCACCUCGACAUUUGCGUUAACCACGCCCCCGCCUCGUUAUUUGCAUUAACCACGCCCACCCACCUCGGCAUGUGCAUUUACCACGCCCACCCACCUCGACAUUUGCGUUAACCACGCCCACCCACCUCGGCAUGUGCAUUUACCACGCCCCUCCUAAUUUGCAUUAACCACGCCCCGUCCUCGUUAUUUGCAUUAACCACGCCCACCCACCUCGACAUUUGCGUUAACCACGCCCAACCACCUCGACAUUUGCGUUAACCACGCCCCUCCUAAUUUGCAUUAAACACGCCCCCGCCUCGUUAUUUGCAUUAACCACGCCUACCCACCUCGACACUUGUGCUAACCACGCCCACCCAUCUCGGCAUGUGCAUUAACCACGCCCCUCCUAAUUUGCAUUAACCACGCCCCGUCCUCGUUAUUUGCAUUAACCACGCCCACCCACCUCGACAUUUGCGUUAACCACGCCCAACCACCUCGACAUUUGCGUUAACCACGCCCCUCCUAAUUUGCAUUAAACACGCCCCCGCCUCGUUAUUUGCAUUAACCACGCCUACCCACCUCGACACUUGUGCUAACCACGCCCACCCACCUCGUCAUUUGCAUUAACCACGCCCAUCCACCUCGACACUUGCGUUAACCACGCCCACCCACCUCGUCAUUUGCAUAAACCACGCCUCGCUCGUUUGCAUUAACCACGCCCCGUGGCGUCUUGUGCACCUAGCCUGGCACCACGAGGAGUCUGUGGGGGUGAUGGGGAUACAAAGGCGGCCGUGGUGAAGGAGCCUCUCACUUUGACUGUGCAGGCGACGCAGGGCUGUGAAUGUCAAUCAAAUAAAGUCACUCAA